AAAAAAUAACAAUGGAUUUUUGUGCCAAGAUGACGGGCCAUCUUCUGAUCAACGAGAUCGAAGAUGGUUGCAGGAAGAAUAUGGUGCUAUCCCCGCUAUCAUUCAAUGCUGUACUCAGCAUGAUUGCUGCAGGAUCGACUGGAUUGACCUUGUACCAGAUGUCCAAGUUCUUGAAUGCAACAACCUUGAUCAUGUCAAUUCAAAGUUAAAAAACUUGACGAGCAUUGCAUCAUCAUCAACUGAUGAUCACAACACCACCAAUGGCAAUCAUGGUGGUGGUCCUGUUAUCUGUCUGGCGAACGGACUGUGGGCAGACAAACAAUACCCUCUAAAACCAUCGUAUCAAAGACUCGUUGAGAGAGUUUAUAAAGCCCAAGCCAAGAACGUGGACUUUGUUAACCAGCAACCAAAGGGCUCGUGACCGACGUUCUCACGCCUGCCAACAUCACUCCAGCUACCAUGCUCAUUCUUGGAACUACACUGUACUUCAAAGGUUCGUGGGAGGAAAAGUUUAACGCAGAGGAAACCGCGAACGGAGACUUUUACCUUUUAAAUGGGGACACAGUUUCAGUACCCUUCAUGACUGGUUGCGAAGCAUAUACUCACUCAUGGAUCAUACGAAGGUUUUGAGGUUGUUAGUAUUCCAUAUCAGAGAGGAAAAGUAUUCUCCUUGUUCAUUUUCCUUCCAAAUGAGAGAGAUGGAUUGCAUAAUCUAUUGGAACAGACAACUCUUGAUUCGGGAUUCUUUACACAAGAUUUUCAGCUCAAGUACGGGGGAUAUGAUACUUUCUGGAUUCCAAAGUCUAAGUUUGCAUUCCAUACUUCUAAAGGGCGACAAACCAUGGAAGAUAUGGUGCUAAAGUUACCAUUUAUGUAGGACUGUAAAGAGCUAACCGGGUUCAUAGACACCAACGGAUUUCCAUUUUAUGUCUCUGAGAUAGUUCAAAAAGCUUUUAUAGAGGUAGAUGAGGUAGGCACGGAAGCAGCAGCUGUUACUGUUGCGUGUGAUUACUUGGUUGCUCAUUAGAUGAUGAGACGAGAUUUGUGGCUGAACAUCCUUUCAUGUUCAUGAUAAGGAAGAGAGCUCCAGGUCAGUGCUGUUUACUGGAGCGGUAUUGAAUCCUCUAGUUCAGGACUGAUCCUGUCAACUCUCUCAACAAGUAUAUUAGUUUUCGGGGGGUAGGGUUUCCAGCUUCGAGUUGAACUUGGCAUGAUAAUGAUGACAUUGUCUUGUUUUUGCUCCAGUCGCGGGGUAGAGUAUUUUGGCAGGUGAUGAUGUG